AACGUAGGUGGCAAGCGUUAUCCGGAUUCACUGGGCGUAAAGCGCGUGCAGGUGGCUUCGUAAGUUGGACGUUAAAUCUUCCGGCCUAACCGGGAGUGGUCGUUCAAUACUGCGGGGCUUGAGGGUAGAAGAGGGGGGUGGAAUUGCCGGUGUAGUGGUGAAAUGCGUAGAUAUCGGCAGGAACACCUGUGGCGAAAGCGGCCCCCUGGUCUGCUCCUGACACUCAGACGCGAAAGCUAGGGGAGUGAACGGG
rnacentral:rRNA from 1 species